GUAGGUGAACCUGCGGAAGGAUCAUUAACAAAUCAGUUGGUGCUGUGUGGGGGGGGGGUCUUCCUUUUGGAGGGCUUUCCCAUCUCACGGCCCAUAUUAACCCGAGCCCGUGCAGCAAUGCCGGGCAAGGUGUGUGAGCGCCCGCCCUUUUGGGAGGGGCUCACGCGGUGAAGGUCGCUCUGUCUGAAAGGACAGUUCUGUCUUGACAGACAAUCGACCCGACCCACAUAGACGCUUGUAUGUUUGACAG
rnacentral:misc_RNA from 1 species